UACGUAGGGUGCAAGCGUUAAUCGGAACUACUGGGCGUAAAGCGUGCGCAGGCGGUUUUGUAAGUUUGUCGUGAAAUCCCCGGGCUCAACCUGGGAAUGGCGAUGAAGACUGCAAGGCUAGAGUUUGGCAGAGGGGGGUAGAAUUCCACGUGUAGCAGUGAAAUGCGUAGAUAUGUGGAGGAACACCGAUGGCGAAGGCAGCCCCCCUGGGUCAAAACUGACGCUCAUGCACGAAAGCGUGGGGAGCAAACAGG
rnacentral:rRNA from 1 species